GAUGAACGCUGGCUACAGGCUUAACACAUGCAAGUCGAGGGGCAGCAUGGGGUUUGCUUGCAAACCCCGAUGGCGACCGGCGCACGGGUGAGUAACGCGUAUCCAACCUUCCCGCGACUCGGGUAUAACCUGCCGAAAGGCAGACUAAUCCCCGAUGUCCUCCACUUUGGACAUCUUUUGUGGAGCAAAGGCUUCGGCCGGUUGCGGAUGGGGAUGCGUCCGAUUAGCUUGUUGGCGGGGCGACGGCCCACCAAGGCUUCGAUCGGUAGGGGUUCUGAGAGGAAGGCCCCCCACAUUGGAACUGAGACACGGUCCAAACUCCUACGGGAGGCAGCAGUGAGGAAUAUUGGUCAAUGGGCGGAAGCCUGAACCAGCCAAGUAGCGUGCAGGAUGACGGCCCUAUGGGUUGUAAACUGCUUUUAUGCGGGGAUAACCGGGGCCACGCGUGGCCCCCUGCAGGUACCGCAUGAAUAAGGACCGGCUAAUUCCGUGCCAGCAGCCGCGGUAAUACGGAAGGUCCGGGCGUUAUCCGGAUUCAUUGGGUUUAAAGGGAGCGUAGGCCGUGGAUUAAGCGUGUUGUGAAAUGUAGGCGCUCAACGUCUGACUUGCAGCGCGAACUGGUCCACUUGAGUGUGCGCGACGCAGGCGGAAUUCGUGGUGUAGCGGUGAAAUGCUUAGAUAUCACGAGGAACCCCGAUUGCGAAGGCAGCUUGCGGGAGCACCACUGACGCUGAGGCUCGAAGGUGCGGGUAUCGAACAGG
rnacentral:rRNA from 1 species